rnacentral:rRNA from 1 species
AACGAACGCUGGCGGCGUGCCUAAUACAUGCAAGUCGAGCGGAUCUUCAUUAGCUUGCUUUUGAAGAUCAGCGGCGGACGGGUGAGUAACACGUGGGCAACCUGCCUGUAAGACUGGGAUAACUUCGGGAAACCGGAGCUAAUACCGGAUAAUCCUUUUCCUCUCAUGAGGAAAAGCUGAAAGACGGUUUCGGCUGUCACUUACAGAUGGGCCCGCGGCGCAUUAGCUAGUUGGUGAGGUAACGGCUCACCAAGGCGACGAUGCGUAGCCGACCUGAGAGGGUGAUCUGCCACACUGGGACUGAGACACGGCCCAGACUCCUACGGGAGGCAGCAGUAGGGAAUCUUCCGCAAUGGACGAAAGUCUGACGGAGCAACGCCGCGUGAGCGAUGAAGGCCUUCGGGUCGUAAAGCUCUGUUGUCAGGGAAGAACAAGUAUCGGAGUAACUGCCGGUACCUUGACGGUACCUGACCAGAAAGCCACGGCUAACUACGUGCCAGCAGCCGCAGUAACAC